GCGGACGUGGCGAAACUGGUAGACGCAGCGCGUUGAGGGCGCGCGAUCGAAAGAUCCCUGGGAGUUCGAGCCUCCCCGUCCGUACCA
rnacentral:tRNA from 1 species